rnacentral:snRNA from 1 species
UUUCUCAAAUUGGCAGCACAUGUACUAAACUUGGAACAAUACAGAGAUUAACUUGGCCCCUGAGCAAGGUGUAAAUUCGUGAAGCAUUCCAUAUUUUU